GUUGAUAAGGUUAAGUGAAUAAGGGCGCACGGUGGAUGCCUUGGCACUAGGAGCCGAUGAAGGACGGGACUAACACCGAUAUGCUUUGGGGAGCUGUAAGUAAGCUAUGAUCCAGAGAUUUCCGAAUGGGGGAACCCAAUAUCUUUUAUAGGAUAUUACUUUUCAGUGAAUACAUAGCUGAUUAGAGGUAGACGCAGAGAACUGAAACAUCUUAGUACCUGCAGGAAGAGAAAGAAAAUUCGAUUCCCUGAGUAGCGGCGAGCGAAACGGGAAGAGCCCAAACCAACAAGCUUGCUUGUUGGGGUUGUAGGACUCCAAUAUGGUAGUCUGUUAGUAUAGUUGAAGGAUUUGGAAAAUUCCGCUAAAGAGGGUGAAAGCCCCGUAGACGAAAUGCUAACAACACCUAGGAGGAUCCUGAGUACGGCGGAACACGAGAAAUUCCGUCGGAAUCCGCGGGGACCAUCCCGCAAGGCUAAAUACUCCCUAGUGACCGAUAGUGAACCAGUACCGUGAGGGAAAGGUGAAAAGCACCCCGGAAGGGGAGUGAAAUAGAUCCUGAAACCGUGUGCCUACAACAAGUCAAAGCUCGUUAAUGAGUGAUGGCGUGCCUUUUGUAGAAUGAACCGGCGAGUUACGAUUGCAUGCGAGGUUAAGUCGAAGAGACGGAGCCGCAGCGAAAGCGAGUCUGAAUAGGGCGAAUGAGUAUGUAGUCGUAGACCCGAAACCAUGUGAUCUACCCAUGUCCAGGUUGAAGGUGCGGUAAAACGCACUGGAGGACCGAACCCACGUACGUUGAAAAGUGCGGGGAUGAGGUGUGGGUAGCGGAGAAAUUCCAAACGAACUUGGAGAUAGCUGGUUCUCUCCGAAAUAGCUUUAGGGCUAGCCUCGGAAUUGAGAAUGAUGGAGGUAGAGCACUGUUUGGACUAGGGGCCCAUCUCGGGUUACCGAAUUCAGAUAAACUCCGAAUGCCAUUCAUUUAUAUCCGGGAGUCAGACUGCGAGUGAUAAGAUCCGUAGUCGAAAGGGAAACAGCCCAGACCACCAGCUAAGGUCCCAAAAUAUAUGUUAAGUGGAAAAGGAUGUGGGGUUGCACAGACAACUAGGAUGUUGGCUUAGAAGCAGCCACCAUUUAAAGAGUGCGUAAUAGCUCACUAGUCGAGUGACCCUGCGCCGAAAAUGUACCGGGGCUAAACAUAUUACCGAAGCUGUGGACUACACCAUUAGGUGUAGUGGUAGGAGAGCGUUCUAAGGGCGUUGAAGGU
rnacentral:rRNA from 1 species